AAAAUUAAUUUGUAAGAUGACCUCAAAUAUUAUGGAUAUUUUAUUGCAAGAUAAUUUCAGAUUAUAUUAUUUACAUCAAAUUGUAUUUUUCAUUUUUUUAAUCUAAGCUAUUUGGCUUAGUUUAGUUUUACUUGUAAUUAGAUUAGGUUGUACUCGCCAUUGUAGGAGAGUACUUCGGUUGUAAAGAACUUCUUUGGUUUAAAGAAGUGAGGUUUGCUAAGCGAACAUGGGAUUAGUGAAUUCUAGCCCAAUAGUUAGCUAGCGUGGACGUAGGUCGGAUUGGAAUCUGGGCUGAACCACUUAAAAAUAAUGUGCCUCUUAUUUUCAUUUCUUGCAUUUAUUUUUUUCUUUGUCUUUUUCAUUAGAAAUAUUGUGUGACUACUUACUCUCUUCAUAAUUUCCUUAAAAUCAUUUUAAUUUUCUUUUUUUUAAUAAAAAUUUUAAGAACCCCAAUUCACCUUGUUCAUCAAGCUCUAAUGAAGAUAACGAUGAGGUGGCCACGCUUUCAGGAAGACUUGGAAGCUUACUAAGGAAGAAAAAUAAAAGGUAUAAAAAAUCUAAAAAUUAUAAAUUUCAUACUAAGAAAUUUCCUAUAGGAGAAGGGAUUAUUUAUUUCCAUUGCAAGAAUCCUGGACAUAUAAGAGGAGAUUGUCUAGAUCUUAUUGAUUCAAAGAAGAAAGAGAUGGAUGUAGAGUGACAAGAAAGAAAAGAAAUAUUUCAAGAAGAAGAAGAAGGCUCUAUGGGCUAACCUAGAUUCAGAUGAAUCAAGUUCAUCAGAUGAAGAGGUAAACAUUUGCCUUAUGGCAGGAGGAGAAUCAGAUUGUGAUUCUCAAGAGGAAUGCCUUCAAAGUAAAAUCAAUGAAGGCAUGUGGUACUUGGAUAGUGGAUGUUCAAGACAUAUGACGGGAGAUAAAGCAAAACUCUUUACAUUAGAAUCAAAUGAUGGAGGAUAUGUCACAUAUGGAGAUAAUGCAAAGGGAAAGAUUAUUGCCAUUGGAUCCAUAUAUAAGAACUCUAUUACUUUAGAAAAAGUUGUAUUUGUUUCUGGUUUAAAACAUAACUUAAUAUCAAUUAGUCAAUUAUGUGAUAAA